AACCUGGUUGAUCCUGCCAGUAGUCAUAUGCUUGUCUCAAAGACUAAGCCAUGCACGUCUAAGUACAAACUAAAUGAUGGUGAAACUGCAAAUGGCUCAUUACAACGGUUAUGAUGUACCCGGGAGUCCGAUGGAUAUUUCCAGUAACACUAGAACUAAUACAUGCUCCUGCGUUUAUUAGUUUCGCACAGUCCGUCGCUGAGUCAUGGUAAACAGUUGAUCGACUCGACGUCCCGGAACAGUUUCCGCCCCAUCAGCUUCGAUGGUUGGGUAUUGGCCUACCAUUGCAACAACGGGUAACGAGGAAUUAGGGUUUGAUUUCGGAGAGGGAGCCUGAGAAACGGCUACCACAUCUACGGAUGGCAGCAGGCGCGCAAAUUACCCAAUGCAGACACUGUGAGGUAGUGACGAGAAAUAAUAAAGCGGGACCUCUGUUUCGCUAUUAUAAUGAGGAAUAUCCAAAGGUCAUUCCGAUUAGCAACUGAUGGGAAAGUCUGGUGCCAGCAGCCGCGGUAAUACCAGCGUCAGUAGCAUAUAUUAAAAUUGUUGCAGUUAAAACGUCCGUAGUCUGUACGUCGUCCAAACUCACUGCAGUCUUCGU
rnacentral:rRNA from 1 species